rnacentral:rRNA from 1 species
UACGUAGGUGGGCGAGCGUUGUCCGGAUUUACUGGGCGUAAAGGGCUGUGGCAGGGCGGUUUGUUAAGUGCAGGGUGAAAGCUCCCGGCUCAAACUGGGAGGAGGUCCUUGCAUACUGGCGAACUCGAGGGAGGCAGAGGAAAGUGGAAUUCCCGGUGUAGUGGUGAUAUGCGUAGAUAUCGGGAGGAACACCUGUGGCGAAGGCGGCGUUUCUGGGCCGUUACCUGACGCUGAGACGCGAAAGCGUGGGGAGCGA